CUUACAGGGUGCAAAUGUGCCAGAUGUUGAUCCCUACAAGAGAUCAGCUCUUCCUGGACAGCACUGGAACACUCUCCAUUUAUUUGUCCUGGUGUAGUACACUGACUGAACAAUAUGGCCAGCAUGGCAAGGGCUUGUAAAAUGCUGAGAUAAGUGUUGGACUUCUGCUUUGCACAGGAAAGAAGCUCAUGCUGGAGAAAGGGCAUAUAGUUUUAGUACUCAUUUUGCUUGGAGCAAGGGAUGGUUUGGUGCCCUUGUUGGGAUCCCUGCUCUGAAUGGGGAACUCAAAGAAGCCAACUUACACCAUUGAACUUUGGGCUUGAGGCUGCAUGGGACAAUGCUGUAAUGGUGGAGUGGUAACAGGGAGCCUUUGUAACACAGUGACAAAGCCAGCUGUAUGUGCCCAAGUGCUCCUGCUUGCUAAGCCUGUAAUAUCAGUCCCAGUUCUGUUCUCCUUCUUUCCCCUCCAGGAAUUGGUUUGUACUUAGGUAGAAUAAGUCACUGUUUGUGUGUUUACUUCUUUUCUGCUUACAGUUCUCAUUGAAUCCCACAGUGGGUAAGAGGGGGAAAGCUCAAGUGAGGCUAAAAUCAUCAUGCUUUAUGCAGAUUUGCAAUUCUCCAUCCUGUGUUAGGUUUUUUUUAUCAGUGUUAAAUAACAAAGUUCAGCUAUUCCCCAGCUGAUCUUCUCCAGGCUCUUUCCUGGGCUUAUUGCUGAGCUGCUCCCGGGGCAGUGUCUGAGCAGGUUCUGCAGCCAUAUUUGCCGUGCUGUCUCUGCUACAGGUACAAGCUGUAGAACAGUUUCUUCCUGCUCCUCUUAUGCCUCCAUCCUAAAAGGAGAAAUAUACAGAAUAUACAGAGAUAUCAUUCAGGAUUUCUGUUGGAAGCAGGGAUAAAACUUUUCCUGACACUCUUGAAGUAGCAAGGAGAAAUGGUCAGAAGGUUGCCAAGCUGAGAGCUGCUGUUGAGGUGGAGGAUGUUCACUGUGAGAGGCCAUAUUCUGCAGCCUGUACUCCAUACUGAUCCACAGGCAUGGUUUGGGGCAGCUUUUCCCUGAAGGUGAGCUCUGGAGAUACCAGUGGCUGAUGAGAAGCCACUGUGUGCCUGAGAGGCCAGCUAGCAGCUGUGCAGGGGUGGUCUUGCAGAGGAGAGCUGGAGUGCAUGAGCAUGGAUAACUGUGGGAUGACAUGAGGCUUUCCCUGCAAACUGAAGAAUAGCUUGGCUAUGGCCUGCAUCCUGACCAGGUGAAUCAGUCCAGAUUACCUCCAGAUUUGCCAGAAGGAUGUUUCAUAUGGACAAUAGAUGAUCUUGAAUGCUGUAUGGAGGCCAAGGAGCUGACCCAGCAGUGGAUCCUCCUUGUAGUCAGAUGGUUGCUUUGUUCUGUUGUCUUCCAUCAAGCACCCCAGGUACUGUAGCAGUGACAUACGGCUCUUUGGCUUCAAUCAGUGCCUCCUGAGUGCACUAUUACUCAUGUAUCCAAGACUGAUUGGAGGUAAUUCAUGUAUGUGUGGACUUCGGCACCUGGGACCGGAGUGGUGUUGCAGACUGUUAAUAAGAAUACUUGAAAGUGCAGAACCUGAAAACAGAUGAUAACUUGCGUGUGAUAGGAAAAUGUUCCAGUGGUUAUUUAAUAACAAAGCUAUUUCAAAGUGGUUAAAGAAGUAUUAAAGGGGCUCUCCAGGAGUCUCACAUUACUAUAGUAACAACAGGGAGGCAGGGAACAAGUUAAAUAAUGUUUGCCAGUAGCACUAAUUUGCUUCUGUGAGUAAAAUCUAUGGACAGCUGGAGGUAAACACUUCAUGAAUAGCCUCCGACUUGAUGAAAGAUUGAGUAGUGAAGUUUCAGUUUGGAUAAAAGUACAUCAUCUCAUGAUGUCAGCUGGAGCCAUUGCUACUCUGCAGGUUUGCAGGGAAGUUUGGAGAAAGGCCCCUAGGAAUGACUGGGGAAGCACGAGUGAAAUCCUCCUCCUUUUGUGUGACUGAGGAUGUUUCCAGUGCAGUUUGAUCACAGAAGGCCUCAAUAUGAAAAGGAUUUACUUUGUGGAAUUGUUCUGUCAUUACUCAGCAGGAUAAUUGACUUCUGAUUAGGAAGAAAAUAAAGCUGAAUGUGUGUGUUUGAGGUUAUAAAGUCCUCUUCAAAAGGCAGAGCUCUUACUUAAACAGCGACAGCUCAGACAAGAACAGGAUGCUUGCGACUCCUUUAUGCUGGCAUUGAUGUAACAGCUGUUGUUGUUUAAACAACUUGUUUCUCCAUUCUUCAUGCUCCUUCCUCCUCCUGUUGUAAAUCAAAGGAAGAAGAGUGGGAAUCAGUUUUGUUAUCUUUGAAAAAUUUAAUAACCUUGUCUUUUUAUCUUUUGGAAAUGGUUUUGUCUUAUGAAUCAUAGAAUCAUAGAAUGGCCUGGGUUGAAAAGGACCACAAUGACCAUCUGGUUUCAACCCCCUGCUAUGUGCAGGGUCGCCAACCAGCAGACCAGGCUGCCCAGAGCCACAUCCAGCCUGGCCUUGAAUGCCUCCAGGGAUGGGGCAUCCACAGCCUCCUUGGGCAACCUGUUCAGUGCGUCACCACCCUCUGGGUGGAAAAACUUCCUCUCAAUAACCAACCUAAAUCACUUCUGUCUUAGUUUAAAACCAUUCCCCCCAUCCUAUCACUAUCCACCCUUGUGGGACUCAGACCCACUGCUGUCGGGGUGCUGAUGGCUGGAAAAUAGUGAUUUCUUUCUGACCCUUUUUCUGACACUACCUCCAAAGUGGCACAGGAACUAAAAGCAAGCCUAGGCCAGCCUUUCUGCUGCCUACAGGGAGUUCAGGUGUGGAGGAGGUGGGCAUCUCACUGUGGAGAUGAUGCUUAAAGUUUUAGAAGAAAUCUUGGCUUAUGGAGGUGAGCAAGGGUCUGUCUUUUCUCACUGUAACUAUUAUCAUUGAAUCAUUUGAGUUGGAAGGGACCUUUAAAGGCCAUCUGGUCCAACACCCCUGAAAUGGACAGGGACACCCACAGCUCCAUCCGUGCUCAGAGCCCCGUCCAGCCUGACUUUGGAUGUCUGCAGAGAUGGGGCACCCACCGCUCUCUGGGCAACCUGUGCCAGUGCCUCACCACCCUUACUGUAAAAAAGCUUCUCCUUAUAUCCAAUCUAAAUCUUUGCUGUUUUAUUUUGAAAUGAUUUCCUCUCACCCCAUCAGAGCAGACGCUGCUAAGGAGUCUGUGCCCUUCUUUCUUGUUGCCCCCCUUUAGAUUACUGGCCUGAAAUUUCAUUUCUGCUUCUGUGAGCAAGCUUCAGCCUUGGACCUGUUUUAGACAGUGCUGCAGGAAAAAAUUACCUGGAAACUUGAAUCUUUAAUAAUCAUCACUGAAGAGCCAGGUUAUGACCCUGCCUGCUAGUAUUUCCACUUCUGAAAAGAGACAGGAUGUGGGUGGCUGAUCUGGAAUGGGUUCAGUGGCAUUGCACAGGGCCUCAACCCUCUGUGCCAACGUCCAGCUGUGGCUGCUGCUCUGGAUGAUGCAGAUCUUACAGGUGUACUUCAAGUCUUAUGAGAGUACUUUCAGAAUAGAGCUCUGAGUUGGGAGAAAUGGAAGAUGAAUGCAUUGCUGCAUUGAAACUGCCCCUAAGGAGGGGAAAACGCACUUCUUCCCUUUCGUCCUGAAUCCUCUGCUUCAUCAUGUGCUGAUCCAGCUGCUCUUUCCCUGUAGACAGAUUUAGUGUCCUUUUAAUUCUGCCUAAAGCCCUCACUGUGAGGCGUUGCAGAGCUGAUUCCUUUGAGGGGGAAAAGGAAGCCUGCCUUAGGUCUCUGGGGAACUAAUUUGUGCCAAUACUCUUGGGUUUGCCAUUCAAGUGUAUCUUUGUUGCUAUAUGCUUCUGCCUUUGAGAUGCAGAGUGAGGUGGUUCAUCAGGUCUGCUGAUGGCUGUGGGACUGUAAACACAGUUCUUGAUCUUUUGCAUGAUGGAGCAGGGGGGAUUUUGUAUCAGAAACAGUGUAGCCUGCAGGAAUGGUAACAGUUCAUCUGUACUCUGUACUGGUGGGAUUGAGUACUGUGCUCUGUUCGGGGCCCCUCACUACAAGAAAGACAUUGAGGUCCUGGAGUGUGUCCGGAGAAGGGCAGUGAAGCUGUGAAGGGUCUGGAGCACAGGUGUUAUGGGGGAGCAGCUGAGGGGGCUGGGAUGGGUCAGUCUGGAGAAGAGGAGCUCAGGGGAGACCUCAUUGCUCCCUGCAUCUCCCUGAAAGGAGGCUGUGAUGAGGUGGGGAAUGGCCUCUGCUCCUGGGUAACAGUGAUAGGAUGAGACAUGUUCGCCUCAAAUUGUGCCAGUGGAGGCUCAGGUUGGAUGUUAGGAAACGUUUCUGCUCUCAAAGGGUGGUGAUGCAGUGGCACAGCUGCCCAGGGAGAAGUGAUGCGUGGGGCAACCAUCAGAAAAGCAGUGCUUUUGUAUUAUGGUGCUUUCCCAAAUCAAGUUGCUCCCCUGGAAAUAGUUGUGUUUGCUUACAGCCACCUUGCUUCAAAAAUGUGCAGGAAUUGUGGGCACGUUGUUUCUGCAGCAUACGCUCUGUGAUGUUUUCUGUGCUAGAGCCAGCUUGGAAAAUGAAUGAAAAAAGAAAUGUUUUGCUCAUUCUUGCUGGAUACUUAAUGGAGCUCAUUGGCAGCAGUGUUCCUUCCCCAGGGAUCUUUCUAGAGUCAUUAGGCUCAGUGAAGGAUGAUCUGGAAGAGUCUGCUUGUAAGAAACUGCUGCUUCUCUGAAGUGUGAAACGUUUCCUGGCUAUAGGAGCUGUCAGCCACCCCUGAGCAGCUGCAAAGAGAUAACAGAGGAGCUGGGAAGGGCAGAUUGAGAGGUUAGUACCUCUAUCCGUAAAUAAAUAAUAACACAUAGGGGCAAAAAAUCCUUCAACUUCAAGGAUAGUGCUACACCUGCAAAGAGAGGAGGGCAGGAAUUUGCUGCUUUUCUGCUCAGCUGGGCUGCCCUUUGGGAAACAGGCAUUUUCAAGAAGGAUUUUGAUGCAAUUUCCAGGUGUGACUGUGAUAAUGUUUUCAGUGCAGCAUUUUGAGGGAGAAACCUUUACUGAACAUAACCUUGGGCAAGAUUUAAAAAAAAAUCAAGGGUGAUAGGAAGUGAUAAAAGAGUUGGCAGUCACGCAACUAUGGAUAUGUGUGGGAAGGCCAAAAAUGUGCUCUGUUUCUUAUCAUAAAGAAGGAAACAACUCUGGUAUCAGGAAAGUAGAAGGCUGCCCUCUGACGGCUCCUGUCCUCCCGAGUGUCAGCCCAAGCACAGCUGUAUGUUGUGUUGCAGGGUCCUCACAGGGAGGUGGAUGUCCCAAAUGAGCUCCAAAGCCACGAGCAUUCGUUGGAAGGACCCCAGAACAGCAGCCAGGUACAGUCAGUCCAGCUGCAUCACAUUGCAUUGUGUUAAAACAGGGCAGCAGUUCUUGCCUGGAGGUGCCUUGAUUGGAAGGUGUCAUCAAGAUGAGGUGUACUGCGAAUAAAUAGAUUUCUGCAGGACUUGUUUGGUGUGCAGUGGAUGCAUUUAAUAAUGUCAUAGUAUUUACUCAUUUAUCUAGAAGCCAAGGGCAUAGGUGAAAUUUCGAGCCCCCCCCCAAAAUUGACUCUUAUCACUAAAAAUGUGGUUGAGAUGCAUUAUUUUAACUCCUGUGUUACCUCCAUCCUCAGUGAGCAGAUUGGAGAAGCAGCAGUGAGCUGUAUGGCAAAGGAAACAACCUGCAGCAUGGGAAGAGCCAGGGCUGAGUCUGGGUGCAGUGACCAUAUCCGGGUCCCCACAGGGGCGGGGGGUCAGAGCAGGUCUAACCAAUUGCAGCUGCAAACAUCUGCUGGUCCCACCCCAGAACUUUUCUCCUCACAGUGCCAGAUUGUAACAGCACGUGUAAUGCCGGCAUUACACCACUGGCUGUUUGCUUCUUUGGCCAGGUUUCAGAUUUGCUUGGUGUUAGGCACUGCCUUGGCCUUGGAUUGGCAGAGAGUAGGUAGUCAGUGUCCCACACAGUAGCCACUAAGCUGACUUCUCG
rnacentral:lncRNA from 1 species